rnacentral:ribozyme from 13 species
GAAAGAGAAGGAGUGGAAGAAAGAGAUUGUCUCAAAAAUGGUUCUGAAUUCGAUCUUUGUCCACUUUUUUUUUGAUUCCCAUUCUUCUUCUUCUUCUCUUCUCGUUUUU